AUACGGAGGGGGCUAGCGUUGUUCGGAAUUACAGGGCGUAAAGCGCACGUAGGCGGCUUUGUAAGUCAGAGGUGAAAGCCUGGAGCUCAACUCCAGAACUGCCUUUGAGACUGCAUCGCUUGAAUCCAGGAGAGGUCAGUGGAAUUCCGAGUGUAGAGGUGAAAUUCGUAGAUAUUCGGAAGAACACCAGUGGCGAAGGCGGCUGACUGGACUGGUAUUGACGCUGAGGUGCGAAAGCGUGGGGAGCAAACAGGAUUAGAAACCCUAGUAGUCC
rnacentral:rRNA from 1 species